rnacentral:rRNA from 1 species
AUUGAACGCUGGCGGAAUGCUUUACACAUGCAAGUCGAACGGUAGAGGGGGCAACCCCUCGAGAGUGGCGAACGGGUGAGUAAUAUAUCGGAACGUGCCCAGUCGUGGGGGAUAACGUAGCGAAAGUUACGCUAAUACCGCAUACGAUCUAAGGAUGAAAGCGGGGGAUCGCAAGACCUAGCGCGAUUGGAGCGGCCGAUAUCAGAUUAGGUAGUUGGUGGGGUAAAGGCUCACCAAGCCAACGAUGUGUAGCUGGUCUGAGAGGACGACCAGCCACAAUGGAACUUGGACAGGGUCCAGAGUCCUACGGGAGGCAGCAGUGGGGAAUUUUGGACAAUGGGCGCAAGCCUGAUCCAGCAAUGCCGCGUGCAGGAAGAAGGCCUUCGGGUUGUAAACUGCUUUUGUCAGGGGAGAAAUCCUCUGGGUUAAUACCUCGGGGGGAUGACGGUACCUGAAGAAUAAGCACCGGCUAACUACGUGCCAGCCGCCGCCGUAA